GCUGAAGAAGCUAUUAGCAUUGAUCUUGUAAAUCAAAGAUAGAAAUUCUUUUCCUUCAGCU
rnacentral:tRNA from 1 species